AGGAUCCUUUGUACUUACAACUAGAAAAGUUGAAUAAAAGUUUGGAAACUGAUCCAUAUGAUGAGAAGACAUUAGGACGUAAAGUUAAACUUCUGUGUCGACUUGGAAAAUUUGAUGCUGCUUUAUCAUUUGCAACACAGUGGGCAGAAAUCAUUCCUAAUAGUACAAAAGCUUCAGUAGAACUAAACAGAAUCAAGAAUGUAAUUGUAGCGUUGCAGGAACAGGAUAUUGAUGAUGAUUAUGAAGUUUAUGACAACACCAUGAAUGCCAACUUAGAAUCCCAUCUUAAAAGACUCUCCCCUGAAGGGGAAGAGAGAAAGGACUCCUUUCACAGUCCUCAGUCUUCAACUUUAUGUUUACCCACUGGAGAUGGAAAUAGAUUAUUGGAUUCUACCAACAAUGUUUCUACAAAUUCCCAUGGUCCCUAUAACCAUGCAG
rnacentral:lncRNA from 1 species